rnacentral:tRNA from 2 species
GCGGGAGUAGCUCAGAUGGUAGAGCAUCAGCCUUCCAAGCUGAGGGUCGCGGGUUCGAGUCCCGUCUCCCGCU